rnacentral:rRNA from 1 species
GAUGAACGCUGGCGGCGUGCCUAACACAUGCAAGUCGAACGAGAUCUUCGGAUCUAGUGGCAGACGGGUGAGGAACACGUGGGAACAUCCCUUUCAGUUCGGAAUAACGUUGGGAAACUAACGCUAAUACCGGAUACGUCCUUCGGGAGAAAGAUUUAUCGCUGAAAGAUUGGCCCGCGUCUGAUUAGCUAGUUGGUGAGGUAAUGGCUCACCAAGGCUACGAUCAGUAGCUGAUCUGAGAGGAUGAUCAGCCACAUUGGGGCUGAGACACGGCCCAAACUCCUACGGGAGGCAGCAGUGGGGAAUAUUGGACAAUGGGCGCAAGCCUGAUCCAGCCAUGCCGCGUGAGUGAUGACGGCCUUCGGGUUGUAAAGCUCUUUUGUCCGGGAAGAUAAUGACUGUACCGGAAGAAUAAGCCCCGGCAAACUUCGUGCCAGCCGCCGCGGUAA